UGAGGGUUAAUUAGCAGUAUAGUAACUAUUGCGAUUAUUAAAGUUAUUGCAAUUAACACUAUCAU